GGGAGGUAAAAGGGCUAAGUGAGCAGUGUGAAUACUCCUUGGUCUCCUGAAUGCCUUGGUUCUCAACUAUAUUAGGGAGCAGUUACUAACAUGUGAAUAAUAAGCCUCAGGUUAAGACAAUAAUCAGGAAUUCACAUCUUGAAGGAAAAGAGGGUGGCAAGGUUCCAGAGAUAUAUAAAAGGACUGGGAUAAGGCAGACUCAGUGAUUCCCUGUGUGUGCUGUAAGCAGAGGAAAAGGCAGAGAUCUGAAGUUGAAGAAAACAACUCAGAAGAAACAAAGGAGCAUGAAGCUCACAAGCUCUAUUGCGUAGAUGAGGCUGCUGAGAACUUCAGGAGGAAGCUCCAAGAAACCACGAUUCAUUUGUGGAGGAAAACUGGGAAAGUUGUUGAGUGGAGGGCUAAUGAGAAGAUGAAAUUUGC
rnacentral:lncRNA from 1 species